rnacentral:rRNA from 1 species
GGAGGGUGCAAGCGUUGUUCGGAAUUACUGGGCGUAAAGGGCGUGUAGGCGGACCAAGUAGUCGGGUGUGAAAGCCCUGGGCUCAACCCAGGAAGUGCGCCCGAAACCAUUGGUCUAGAGAUUCGGAGGGGAGCGGGGAAUUCCCAGUGUAGAGGUGAAAUUCGUAGAUAUUGGGAGGAACACCGGUGCCGAAGGGGCCGCUCUGGACGAAUACUGACGCUGAGACGCGAAAGCGUGGGUAGCAAACAGGAUUAGAUACCCUGGGUAGUCCACGCUGUAAACGAUGUGCACUAGGUGUCGGGGGUAUUGACCCCCUCCGGUGCCGCCGCUAACGCAUUAAGUGCACCGCCUGGGAAGUACGGUCGCAAGGCUG